rnacentral:rRNA from 1 species
GAUGAACGCUGGCGGCGUGCCUAAUACAUGCAAGUCGAGCGAACAGACGAGGAGCUUGCUCCUCUGACGUUAGCGGCGGACGGGUGAGUAACACGUGGAUAACCUACCUAUAAGACUGGGAUAACUUCGGGAAACCGGAGCUAAUACCGGAUAAUAUAUUGAACCGCAUGGUUCAAUAGUGAAAGACGGUUUUGCUGUCACUUAUAGAUGGAUCCGCGCCGCAUUAGCUAGUUGGUAAGGUAACGGCUUACCAAGGCAACGAUGCGUAGCCGACCUGCGAGGGUGAUCAGACACACUGGAGCGGAGGCACGGUCCAGACGCCUACGGGAGGCAGCAGUAGGGAAUCUUCCGCAAUGGACGAAGACCUGACGGAGGAACGCCGCGUGAGUGAUGAAGGUCUUCGGAUCGUAAAACUCUGUUAUUAGGGAAGAACAAAUGUGUAAGUAACUAUGCACGUCUUGACGGUACCUAAUCAGAAAGCCACGGCUAACUACGUG